AUUGAACGCUGGCGGCAGGCCUAACACAUGCAAGUCGAACGAGUGGCGGACGGGUGAGUAAUGUCUGGGAAACUGCCUGAUGGAGGGGGAUAACUACUGGAAACGGUAGCUAAUACCGCAUACCAUCAGAUGUGCCCAGAUGGGAUUAGCUUGUUGGUGGGGUAACGGCUCACCAAGGCGACGAUCCCUAGCUGGUCUGAGAGGAUGACCAGCCACACUGGAACUGAGACACGGUCCAGACUCCUACGGGAGGCAGCAGUGGGGAAUAUUGCACAAUGGGGGGAACCCUGAUCCAGCCAUGCCGCGUGUGUGAAGAAGGCCUUAUGGUUGUAAAGCACUUUAAGCGAGGAGGCGUUACUCGCAGAAUAAGCACCGGCUAACUCUGUGCCAGCAGCCGCGGUAAUAC
rnacentral:rRNA from 1 species